rnacentral:rRNA from 1 species
UGAAGUCGUACCGUAAGGAGCGGUGGACUGGUUACGAGUGAGAAUGUUGGCAUCAGUAGCGAGAUGUGGGUGAGAAUCCCACAGGCCGAAAACCUAAGGUUUCCUCAGGAAGGUUCGUCCGCUGAGGGUUAGUCGGGACCUAAGCCGAGGCCGAAAGGCGUAGGUGAUGGACAACUGGUUGAUAUUCCAGUACCACUACCAUCGUUAUUAUCGAUGGCGUGACGCAGGAGGAUAGUGUGUGCUAGCUAUUGGAUGCUAGUCUAAGCGUUUAGGCAGUGAGAGUAGGCAAAUCCGCUCUCAUAAUGCUGAGGCGUGAUGGGGAAGGUUCUACGGAACCGAAGUACAUGAUUCCACGCUGCCAAGAAAAGCGUCUAGAGAGAGAAGUAGUGCCCGUACCGCAAACCGACACAGGUAGGUGAGGAGAGAAUCCUAAGGCCGGCGGAAGAAUUACAGUUAAGGAACUCGGCAAAUUGACCCCGUAAGUUCGCGAGAAGGGGUGCCUACGAGAGUAGGCCGCAGAGAAUAGGCCCAAGCAACUGUUUAGCAAAAACACAGGUCUCUGCUAAAGCGUAAGCUGAUGUAUAGGGGCUGACGCCUGCCCGGUGCUGGAAGGUUAAGGGGAACACUUAGCGCAAGCGAAGGUGUGAACUUAAGCCCCAGUAAACGGCGGCCGUAACUAUAACGGUCCUAAGGUAGCGAAAUUCCUUGUCAGGUAAGUUCUGACCCGCACGAAUGGCGUAAUGACUUGGGCACUGUCUCAACUGUAAAUCCGGCGAAGUUGUAGUGCGAGUGAAGAUGCUCGCUACCCGCGAUUGGACGGAAAGACCCCGUAGAGCUUUACUGUAGCUUAGCAUUGAGUUUUGGUAUUGUCUGUACAGGAUAGGUGGGAGACUAGGAAACCAGGGCGUCAGCCUUGGUGGAGUCAACCUUGGGAUACCACCCUGACAGUACUGAAAUUCUAACUGGCGGCCAUGAAUCUGGUCACAGGACAUUGUUAGGUGGGCAGUUUGACUGGGGCGGUCGCCUCCUAAAAAGUAACGGAGGCGCCCAAAGGUUCCCUCAGAACGGUCGGAAAUCGUUCGAAGAGUGCAAAGGCAGAAGGGAGCCUGACUGCGACACCCACAAGUGGAGCAGGGACGAAAGUCGGGCUUAGUGAUCCGGUGGUACCUCGUGGGAGGGCCAUCGCUCAACGGAUAAAAGCUACCUCGGGGAUAACAGGCUGAUCUCCCCCAAGAGUCCACAUCGACGGGGAGGUUUGGCACCUCGAUGUCGGCUCG